rnacentral:rRNA from 1 species
UGGGGGGACCAUCCUCCAAGGCUAAAUACUCCUGAUUGACCGAUAGUGAACCAGUACUGUGAAGGAAAGGCGAAAAGAACCCCGGUGAGGGGAGUGAAAUAGAACCUGAAACCUUGUACGUACAAGCAGUGGGAGCCCUUUAAGGGUGACUGCGUACCUUUUGUAUAAUGGGUCAGCGACUUAUAUUUUGUAGCGAGGUUAACCGAAUAGGGGAGCCGAAGGGAAACCGAGUCUUAACUGGGCGUUAAGUUGCAGGGUAUAGACCCGAAACCCGGUGAUCUAGCCAUGGGCAGGUUGAAGGUUGGGUAACACUAACUGGAGGACCGAACCGACUAAUGUUGAAAAAUUAGCGGAUGACUUGUGGCUGGGGGUGAAAGGCCAAUCAAACCGGGAGAUAGCUGGUUCUCCCCGAAAGCUAUUUAGGUAGCGCCUCGUGAAUUCAUCUCCGGGGGUAGAGCACUGUUUCGGCAAGGGGGUCAUCCCGACUUACCAACCCGAUGCAAACUGCGAAUACCGGAGAAUGUUAUCACGGGAGACACACGGCGGGUGCUAACGUCCGUCGUGAAGAGGGAAACAACCCAGACCGCCAGCUAAGGUCCCAAAGUCAUGGUUAAGUGGGAAACGAUGUGGGAAGGCCCAGACAGCCAGGAUGUUGGCUUAGAAGCAGCCAUCAUUUAAAGAAAGCGUAAUAGCUCACUGGUCGAGUCGGCCUGCGCGGAAGAUGUAACGGGGCUAAACCAUGCACCGAAGCUGCGGCAGCGACACUAUGUGUUGUUGGGUAGGGGAGCGUUCUGUAAGCCUGUGAAGGUGGCCUGUGAGGGUUGCUGGAGGUAUCAGAAGUGCGAAUGCUGACAUAAGUAACGAUAAAGCGGGUGAAAAGCCCGCUCGCCGGAAGACCAAGGGUUCCUGUCCAACGUUAAUCGGGGCAGGGUGAGUCGGCCCCUAAGGCGAGGCUGAAAAGCGUAGUCGAUGGGAAACGGGUUAAUAUUCCCGUACUUGGAUAAACUGCGAUGUGGGGACGGAGCAGGUUAGGUUAUCGCACUGUUGGAUAUGUGCGUUUAAGUUGGUAGGUGUGAAGUUUAGGCAAAUCCGGACUUCUAUAACACCGAGAGAUGAUGACGAGGCUCUACGGAGCUGAAGUAACCGAUACCACACUUCCAGGAAAAGCCACUAAGCUUCAGGUUUAUCUAAACCGUACUGAAAACCGACACAGGUGGUCAGGUAGAGAAUACUCAGGCGCUUGAGAGAACUCGGGUGAAGGAACUAGGCAAAAUAGCACCGUAACUUCGGGAGAAGGUGCGCCGGCGUAGAUUGUAGUCCCUUGCGGGCGAAGGUUGAACCGGUCGAAGAUACCAGCUGGCUGCAACUGUUUAUUAAAAACACAGCACUCUGCAAACACGAAAGUGGACGUAUACGGUGUGACGCCUGCCCGGUGCCGGAAGGUUAAUUGAUGGGGUUAGCGGCAACGCGAAGCUCUUGAUCGAAGCCCCGGUAAACGGCGGCCGUAACUAUAACGGUCCUAAGGUAGCGAAAUUCCUUGUCGGGUAAGUUCCGACC